AUAUCCGACGUGCUGUGGCGCUCCGUGGCCUUCCUUUCUACCUCCAUGAGGAUGAUGCCACUUUUCUAAAGACAUGGGAUGUAAGUCUCUCAAUCGGAGUUUCCAGAUAUUGAGGACCUUACUGUUGAACUCAUUCUGAUCAGCACGAACAGUGCAAAUGCAUCCCUCUGCCCAAAGAAGACUCCUGUUGUUUUGGAUUGAAAUGACUGUUGAAUUUCCUAGCAUUGGUCAGGCAUUUGUCAUAAAGUAUCUAUCUAUCUAUCUAUCUAUCUAGAUAGAUAGUAUCUAUCUAUCUAUCUAUCUAUCUAUCUAGUCUUUAUGCCCUUGAUCUAAACUGUGUUUAUUUGAAUUUAGCCUCCACUACAGCCCUGUUCUGAACUCCAACCUGUAUUUGUUUCCAUGGUUUACAUGAAAAUAAAAGAUUAAGAAGAAUUUCA